UACGUAGGGUGCAAGCGUUGUCCGGAAUUAUUGGGCGUAAAGAGCUCGUAGGCGGCUUGUCACGUCUGCUGUGAAAACUCGGGGCUCAACCCCGAGCCUGCAGUGGAUACGGGCUAGCUAGAGUGCGGUAGGGGAGACUGGAAUUCCUGGUGUAGCGGUGAAAUGCGUUGAGAUCGGAAGGAACGCCCGUGGCGAAAGCGAGGUCCUGGACGUCAUCUGACGCUGAGACGCGAAAGCUAGGGGAGCGAACGGG
rnacentral:rRNA from 1 species